rnacentral:rRNA from 1 species
UACAGAGGUCCCAAGCGUUGUUCGGAUUUACUGGGCGUAAAGGGUGCGUAGGUGGCGAGGUAAGUUCGAUGUGAAAUCUCCGAGCUCAACUCGGAAAUGGCAUUGAAUACUAUCCCGCUUGAGGGUCGGAGGGGAGACUGGAAUUCUCGGUGUAGCAGUGAAAUGCGUAGAUAUCGAGAGGAACACCAGUGGCGAAGGCGGCCGACUGGGCCGACCCUGACGCUGAGGCGCGAAGGCGUGGGGAGCGAACGGG